rnacentral:rRNA from 1 species
GAUGAACGCUGGCGGCGUGCCUAAUACAUGCAGGUCGAGCGAACGGACGAGGAGCUUGCUUCUCUGAUGUUAGCGGCGGACGGGUGAGUAACACGUGGAUAACCUACCUAUAAGACUGGGAUAACUUCGGGAAACCGGAGCUAAUACCGGAUAAUAUUUUGAACCGCAUGGUUCAAUAGUGAAAGACGGUCUUGCUGUCACUUAUAGAUGGAUCCGCGCUGCAUUAGCUAGUUGGUAAGGUAACGGCUUACCAAGGCAACGAUGCAUAGCCGACCUGAGAGGGUGAUCGGCCACACUGGAACUGAGACACGGUCCAGACUCCUACGGGAGGCAGCAGUAGGGAAUCUUCCGCAAUGGGCGAAAGCCUGACGGAGCAACGCCGCGUGAGUGAUGAAGGUCUUCGGAUCGUAAAACUCUGUUAUUAGGGAAGAACAUAUGUGUAAGUAACUGUGCACAUCUUGACGGUACCUAAUCAGAAAGCCACGGCUAACUACGUG